AUGGAGGAGAACCCUAGUGGACACAUCAAGGUCGAUGACAUGGAGCCCGUCAUCUUCUAGGCGCUUCUUCACUUCAUCUACACGGAUACCUUCCCAUAUAAUGGAGGUGUAGACAAGAAUGUGCCAUUGCAACACUUGUUUGUUGCCGUGGAUCGGUAAGGGCUGGAUAGGCUCACGACAAUGUGUGAACAAAUGCUAUGCGAGAGCAUCGACGUGCACACAGUUGCCACCACACUUGCCUUAGCGGAGCAGCACCAAUGCGUGGAACUCAAGCGUGCAUGCCUUGGAUUCCUGUCCUCUCAAUGUGUGCUCAGUGACAUCCAAGAGACAGAUGGAUUCAAGCACCUCAUAUCCAGCUGCCCUUCUGUUGUAGGGGACAUCAUAAACAGCGUCGCCAUCACUAGCGGUAGGGCUGCCAAAAGAGCUCGAGUCGAAGCCACUCACAGCGACUCGUCUUCUAGCUACACCGGAGAUUAUUGA
rnacentral:rRNA from 1 species